rnacentral:rRNA from 2 species
GUCUGGGAAACUGCCUGAUGGAGGGGGAUAACUACUGGAAACGGUGGCUAAUACCGCAUAACGUCGCAAGACCAAAGAGGGGGACCUUCGGGCCUCUUGCCAUCAGAUGUGCCCAGAUGGGAUUAGCUUGUUGGUGAGGUAACGGCUCACCAAGGCGACGAUCCCUAGCUGGUCUGAGAGGAUGACCAGCCACACUGGAACUGAGACACGGUCCAGACUCCUACGGGAGGCAGCAGUGGGGAAUAUUGCACAAUGGGCGCAAGCCUGAUGCAGCCAUGCCGCGUGUAUGAAGAAGGCCUUCGGGUUGUAAAGUACUUUCAGCGGGGAGGAAGGUGUUGUGGUUAAUAACCGCAGCAAUUGACGUUACCCGCAGAAGAAGCACCGGCUAACUCCGUGCCAGCAGCCGCGGUAAUACGGAGGGUGCAAGCGUUAAUCGGAAUUACUGGGCGUAAAGCGCACGCAGGCGGUCUGUCAAGUCGGAUGUGAAAUCCCCGGGCUCAACCUGGGAACUGCAUUCGAAACUGGCAGGCUUGAGUCUUGUAGAGGGGGGUAGAAUUCCAGGUGUAGCGGUGAAAUGCGUAGAGAUCUGGAGGAAUACCGGUGGCGAAGGCGGCCCCCUGGACAAAGACUGACGCUCAGGUGCGAAAGCGUGGGGAGCAAACAGGAUUAGAUACCCUGGUAGUCCACGCCGUAAACGAUGUCUACUUGGAGGUUGUGCCCUUGAGGCGUGGCUUCCGGAGCUAACGCGUUAAGUAGACCGCCUGGGGAGUACGGCCGCAAGGUUAAAACUCAAAUGAAUUGACGGGGGCCCGCACAAGCGGUGGAGCAUGUGGUUUAAUUCGAUGCAACGCGAAGAACCUUACCUGGUCUUGACAUCCACAGAACUUUCCAGAGAUGGAUUGGUGCCUUCGGGAACUGUGAGACAGGUGCUGCAUGGCUGUCGUCAGCUCGUGUUGUGAAAUGUUGGGUUAAGUCCCGCAACGAGCGCAACCCUUAUCCUUUGUUGCCAGCGGUCCGGCCGGGAACUCAAAGGAGACUGCCAGUGAUAAACUGGAGGAAGGUGGGGAUGACGUCAAGUCAUCAUGGCCCUUACGACCAGGGCUACACACGUGCUACAAUGGCGCAUACAAAGAGAAGCGACCUCGCGAGAGCAAGCGGACCUCAUAAAGUGCGUCGUAGUCCGGAUUGGAGUCUGCAACUCGACUCCAUGAAGUCGGAAUCGCUAGUAAUCGUGGAUCAGAAUGCCACGGUGAAUACGUUCCCGGGCCUUGUACACACCGCCCGUCACACCAUGGGAGUGGGUUGCAAAAGAAGUAGGUAGCUUAACCUUCGGGAGGGCGCUUACCACUUUGUGAUUCAUGACUGGGGUGAAGUCGUAACAAGGUAACCGUAGGGGAACCUGCGGUUGGA